CCCCUCGCUGCCAUCCCACGACCCCAUCUCCCGUGUGUUUUGGUGCAUCCUCACGUCACUAGCGAAAUCUGCUCACUGCACAGCUCCCCGGCCCCGCGCGGGACAUCGCGCGAGAUGCAAUCUGCCGCGAGGCUGCUCGCCCUGGCCUCCCCUCGCCGCCUCCCGCCGCGCAGCCCGCGCGCCCACCUCCUCCCGCGCGGCCUCUGCUCCGCGCCGCCCGGACAGCCGGAUCCGCGCCACGACCCAGGCCCCGGCCCGGACCCGGACCCGCAGCUCGUCGGCGCGCUCUGCCGCGUCCUGAGCGACUUCCGCGGGCCGCGGCACGACCUCCGAGCCGCGCUCCAAGGCCUCGCGCCCCGCCUCACCCCCGCGGCGGCGGCCGCCGUCCUCCGCCGCUGCCGCAACCUGCCCGUGCCCUCGCUCCGGUUCUUCCUCUUCGCCGCCGCGGCGCCGGGCUUCGUCCACCUCCCGGACUCGCUCCUCGUCCUCGCCGGCUCGCUCGCGGGCGCGCGGCUCUUCCCGCUGCUGCGCUCCCUGCUCUCCGACCUCCCGCGCUCCGCGCUCUCGCGGGACCUCUUCCCGCUGCUGUUCCGCGCGUACGCACGUGCCGGCCUCCCCGACGACGCCACCCGGGCUUUCUCUUCCAUGGAGGGGUUCGGGUUCCCGCCAACAGCCGCCGAUCUCCACUCGCUGCUCUUUGCGUUGUCGCAUAAUGGCCUGGUAGAGCAUGCCGAGGCCUUCUUUAGGGAUUCAGCGACACAGUUCGGUCUCUCGGCAAAAGCCUACACCAUCCUCAUCUCUGGCUGGGCUGUUGUCACGAAGCCAGAGAAUGCCAGGAAGUUGUUUGAUGAAAUGAUUGAGAGAGGCAUCAAGCCUGAUGUGCCCGCGUAUAACGCGUUGAUUGAUGCCUUGUGCCGAGGAGGGGAUGCUGCGCUUGCACAUGAGCAGCUAAAAGAUAUGCAGCGCAGCCAUGGGCUUGUCCCUGAUGCCGCCACUUAUGGCCCAUUCCUUCGUUCUGCAUGUGCAGCAAAGGAUGCUCGUGCUGCUCUUCGUGUGCUAGAUAGGAUGCAUAUGCACAACCUGACACCAAAUGUAUUCACGUAUAAUGCUGUCAUCCGGUUACUCUGCGAGUUGGGAGAGGUUGAUGAGGCUUAUAAUAUCCUGAAUGAGAUGGCAAACAAUGGGGAAAUGCCUGAUAUUUGGAGCUACAACACUCUUCUUAAUGCACAUUGCAAGCUGAAAGAGGUGAACAAGGCGUUACGUCUUAUUUCAAGGAUGGAUAAAGAGUCAUGUCUGCCUGACCGGCAUUCUUACAACAUGAUUCUGAAGAUGUUGGUUUCUGUAGGAAGAGUUGAUAGGGCAAUUGAGGUUUGGGAUGGAAUGGAAAAACGUGGUUUCCAUCCAGGGGCAGCAACUUACGCUGUCAUGAUUCAUGGGCUAUCUUGCAAGAAGGAUAGAGCAGAGGAGGCCUGCAGCUACUUUUUGAGGAUGGUGGAUGAGGGUAUCCCGCCUUACCAGGCUACUUGUCAGGUGCUGAGGGAUAGGCUGCUCAGGAUUGGGUUGCGAGAUGAUCUUGAGAUGCUCACUGAUAGGAUGCGACGGAGCACUUCCUGCACAAUACAAGAUAUGGCAAGUAUCAUGUGCAGUAGGAAGGCAGUGGAAACUAGAAAUCUGAAUAGUGACCAUGCAUUCUCUGCUAUUGACCUUCAUGAGUGCCAGUGGAGGGAGCAAUGGAAAAUGGUCGACUGAAAGUAACAGUGCAGGGCUUGCUUAUGUGUCUACUUCCUUCCAAAUUUGUUUCCUGGUUCCCUUCCUGGUGUAUAAGUUAGACUAACAUGGAUUCAGAGCCCUCAUCACAGAA